UCAGAUAUGGUGUAGUUGGACACACGCCCUCUGCCAUUAGGCGGAUGGGAAAAUGGUCUGAGGGAGACCUGGGUUUGAAUCCCAGUAUCUGAA